GGAUUUUUUAUCGCUGGCGAGUAAACGCACGCUGCUCCGCGAACUCCGCCCUCGAAAAGCGUGAACUUCAUCUGAAAAAUGGAUGCUACCAUAACUUCUAUUCUACCUUAAAUGGAAUAAAAUUUAUCUCGUCUUUUCUUAAGCACCCUGACACGUACCAAGGAGAACGUACAAGAAACCGCAGAACAUAAAAUACAGCGUUAUAUUACCCCACGCAGAGGAUAGUUUGAUCCAGAAUUGUCCAAAAGACCCACAGUCUGUGCACCGUUAUCAGACAUAAAGAGAAUAAUCGAGUUUUCCAGCAUGUUAGCCUGCUUCAACGCCUGGACAACUCUACCGACAGAUUCAUCCAAGGCGGUAACCACGCCUGAAAACAAGGAAACAUACAUUGCAAUAAGACGCUGCGAGAAUAUAACAAGUAGUAAUCGAUGCACCGAGAAUAAGGCGACAAAUAUAAGAGUCACGGUCCAAGCUUGAGUUCAAGUUGGAGGUGUCAGAUCUAAAUGCAAAAGUACGAGGAGUGACAAGCUUGUCGAUUGGAAACCUAGACCAGGGCUGUAACCCGAAAACGAGGUCGUACGUUUACAUAAACCUCUCUUUUUAUUUUAGUACGCUGAAUCAGCCCCUGCUGUGCUUCACACGUGUUCUCAUUCGUCCUAUGUAUUUUCAGAUUGAGCUCAAAUUUUACCAAUACAGGGUGUACCGUAACAUCCCACGUUGGAUCCACUUCAGCAGAAGACGGGAGGGACAAAAACAACGAGAAAGGUCAGUUGCUUUGUUCGCAAUUGCAAGAAUGCAGAAACAUAUGGUCGAAAACAUAUUUCUCCGGCAAAUGAAAUCGAGAACAUAGAAAGCGUAGAGAAGCAAUAUGCGUGUAUUUCCACGAAUCGAAGUAUUUAUUUCAUAAAUAUGGAACCGCGUGGAUAUCUCCAUGAAAUAUUGAGAAAUUAAUUUCUACCUUAUCUUUUAAUCGUAUGUGUGCAAUAUUCAGGUGCAACGAAAUCUGAUCAAAUAUCCGCGAUUAUGAAACACAAAUGACGCAACUCAGACGCUCCCUGAUUCGUGGAAAAUAGAAUGAUCAGGAAACAGGUCGAUAAACUUGCAUUUAACAUCGAUCAGAAUAGAAAUGUUACUUUAUCCAUUUGUUCAAAAGAGAUCGAUGUAAAUCAUCGGUGUGAACACGUCGUACGACGUUUGGCGAACCCGUUCCUGCAAAAUGAAAGAAAAUUCGGCUUCCGUUUAUUGCCAUAUUUCCUGUUAAACGCUUUUUGUUCGAUUUCACGAGCGACACCGACGGAUUUGUCCUAGGAAAUAGGACCAAGUGGAACGUUUUCGAAGCCCAAAAAAGCAGGGUAAUCUUACAAGGUCGUCCGCCAUGAUAACUAUAAUAUUUGGCCGCUGCUGUGCCUGAGCUUUCUGUUGCGCCAGUACGACGUAGAAGUAGAACAAGCAUCCUGUGGCAAUCAUCACAGACAUUGACAUUAUGCAGUUAAGGGUAGAACUUGACAUUUGUUCCCAGGUCUCUUCUUCUAGCGGUAUAAGAAUCUCUGGAGAAAGAUUUACACGAUAUGCGAUAAGCAAAAUUAUACACUGUAAAAAUUGCUUUCGUUUUACAAGGAAAUAACAGAUUCUGUUCUAUUGCUAUAAAAUGGAUCAUACAUAAUUCGAUGAAAUAAUAUAAGACAAAAAUGGUGCGCAUCUAUUAUUUCCUUCUAAAACCGAAGAAUCUUUUCGAACAAUCUAAUGCGCGUACAGGCAGGAAAAACAGCACGCUGCGAGGAGAUACGAGACGCGUCCAGAAAAUAAAUUCCGAUUGGCUAUCGCAUUGGAAAAAUAGAAAUUUGCUGCAUUCUACGCGUAGUUUUUACCGUCAUCUUCUUCGCUCGCGCUCGAGACCAGUUACCAGGUACCCUGGAUCGUCGAUAUUAAAUUGUAUCGGACAGAGUGCGAAUGGAUCAACGCUCUCGUGACGAAUAUCAGAGCAAAGAAGAUUCAAGAGAAAAUCUCCGUGAUAAAGACCGAGUUUCGUGCGUUCCCUUUUUUGCGAAGAGAUAUCGUUAUCUAGCAAAAUUUAACCACUAAAUCCCUAUCUCGCGCUGUCGCCUCUAACAGCCACGUUGGUGUAGCCGAUGCGACGUUGAAUCUACGUGAAAAAUAAAAUAAAAUUUCGCGAGUUUCCCUUUACAGCAAGCGUUUCAAUAAUGGUAAACACCUAGUGGCAAAGUAGGGAUUUAAUAAAACGUCCGAACUACGAAAGUUAUAGCGUCAAUGCGUGAAUCUUGGAGGUAUUUCGUGUCACUAUAGUUGCAGCUAUCGUACGGACAAUUUCUAUCGACGAGACAUUUACGUAACAUAAACGCACGCCCUGACGCAACGAUUUACCGAACGUCCCUUUUGCGCAAAUCGCGAAGAUCCUCGGAAAUAGUAAAAAGCCAAUCGGAACUUACUUUCGCAGAUACGCCUCGUAGAACCGCGCGUGAUCGUAAUUUAAACACGUUGCCCGAGCCAAGUCACCACUCGACACAACGAUUCACCAUCAGCGAUCCUGCCACGUAAUACCGCGCCACUUAUAACGCACCUGGGCUUUAUACCGCCAGCGGAGAAAGUAUUUUCCGGGAUGCUACACUCUAACUAUUAUCACUGGCCGACCGUACGAUCAUUUAACUCCGAAGUCUGUACCGCAACUAUCGAAAGCACGUGUCUCAAGGAGAACGUUCCGCUUUGUCCUGUACUCUUCGUAACUAUGGAACUGAUCUGUCCAUGCGAUUUUCUGAUAAUACGCUCCUCCGCCUUAAGUACUAGCACGUUUGCACGAGACUGUCGGAUUCCUAAAUAUCUUUAAAAUAAUUAAACGCUCGAUAUCGCUUAAUGAACAGGCGAUCAUUUAAAAAAACUGAUAAAUAGAGAUAUCGUUAAUCUUGCGAUAACUGUGUCAUGUAUUGUUUGUUAUUAUUGAUAUUAUUGAAUUGCGUAGCUGAGUAUUGUUUAAGUAGGAUGUCUGAAAAAGUAUAUGCAAACUGCAGUUGUUUUUUGCGUUUACAGAACAGAUUAUAUAUACGAUUUAGAUAUGCAAAAAUGUAUGGAAUAAAUGUAGUGAAAUGUAACAUAAAAAAAAAUAUUCAAAGUGGAGUAUUGGGUAUAAUAUUUAAAGGGCAAAACAGAUGUUUGUUUAAACGUCGUUUCUUCAGUUUCUUCCAUAAAAAUUUGAAUUUAUAUCAACAUCAGCAGUCUAGUAAUAUAUUUUGUCUUGCUUGGCUGGAUUCGACGACUGUCCUGCAUAGAAAAGAAGUUUGUUGUCUGCGCUUAAUCUUUCACUUGCAGUUAGAUCUUUGACUAAGUGAGUAUUUCUUUCGAGACGCGUACUUUCGGUUCAGUUACUUUUGGUACAAAGGGAAAUGUGCCAGCAAAUAAUUGACAAACUAUUUUGUAUUCGAUAACUUUAUUAUCUCUGCCACUUAUUUUAUUCGUAUUUUAAAAUAUCCUAUGGAACUCGUAUCAUUGUAUUUACGUAAAUAAAUUAAUCGCAUGUUUAAAAUAUUUGCGUAUGUACAUUAAAAUUUGAAUUGUAAUGCAAAUGGAACGUUCGCCAAGAUUCUUAUCAGAUGUAUAAUUUUUAAUUUAAACAGAAUUACUAAACAGUAUGAACAUUUCGUAAGUAAUAAACUCGUAAAACUCGACUGCUAAACAAAUGACUUAAGUUAUGGCAGGUAACGAGUAUACUUCGCUAUAAGGCUAUCGUCCAAGGCACCUAAAUUGCGUAUUCGUUCGAAUUACGCAGCAAGG